AUACAGAGGGUGCAAGCGUUAAUCGGAAUUACUGGGCGUAAAGGACGCGUAGGCGGGUUGGCAAGUCAGAUGUGAAAUCCUACAGCUUAACUGUAGAACUGCAUUUGAAACUGCUAACCUAGAGUAUGGGAGGGGGAGAUGGAAUUAGUGGUGUAGGGGUAAAAUCCGUAGAUAUCACUAGGAAUACCGAAAGCGAAGGCGAUCUCCUGGAACAUAACUGACGCUAAGGCGUGAAAGCGUGGGGAGCAAACAGGAUUAGAUACCCUAGUAGUCC
rnacentral:rRNA from 1 species